rnacentral:lncRNA from 1 species
UUUGCAAGGUGGAGCUCUCCAUCUCUUUUCACGGUGGUUAGGUGAUAAAGGUAAUACAUUUUUUAUUCAAUGGAUUAUGAAGUGAAACAUUGUUGUUGUGUGAUUUUGAUGAUGUUGUGUGAUUUUGAUGUUGUUCUAGACCGUUAACUAGGAUUGUCAUGUUACAACAGUUGUUAGAGUGACAAUAGUAUGGUUUGAUGAUUCAGUUUUAGUUUUGAGUUUCCUGUUGAAGGAAGUUUGAAGCUUUUCUUCCAUGAAUGAUGAACUGUUGGUAUUGUUGAUAUUACUAGACACACUGAUAUAAAAUUGAUAUAUGUUUUUCACAGUGAUGAAGGUAGAGCAUAUAAAUUGUAUGCUCUAAUCGUUGAACAAACGAGUUUGGUAAUUGUUGGUAAUUGUUAAGACAAAUGAGUUUUCCAAUUGUUUCCCAAGACAUUUUAGGAUUUCAUUUUGUCUAAGAUUGCUUUGCUAACUUUUGAUUUGGACCGAUGGGGUUGUUAAUAAGCUUACAAUCCAUUAAGCUUGUUUUUUUUGUAGGAUAUCCAAGGCAUAAGUUCUCAAUGUUUUCGUUGGAUUGAGCCACUUGUAUUGCGAUGAAGUAUUUUAGAUAGCAACCACCUUCUUCCUAGGUGGAAAAGUAACCACAAAAUUAAGUCAACUAAGACAGUGGCAGUAUGUUAAGAAAACUUUUUCAACAAAUGUCACGUGACUGUUCCGAUUGGUUGGGGUGGGGCAUGAGGUAGGGAGAAAGUGGGUCAAAUAAGGUUUUUAGAAGCCAUGAGUGUAGGGCAGUGUCAAGUAAGCACAAAAUUCACUCAAUUUAGGGACUGAUAGUAUGUGGUUAGCCUAGUGGAAUAUGUGGUUGGGGUGGGCAUGAUGUGGGCAAAAUGUGCGUUAGAUCAGGUUUUUAGAGUCCAUCAGCUUAUUGAGUGUGUUUCUAUCAGUUGGGAGACCAUGAACAUUUUCCAUCUGCUCAAUUUCCUGCAUGUAUUGCAUCUUGAGCUUUGAGGCUGUUGUUAGUAGAGGAUAAUUUUUGAAACACUCUACAGGCAAGGCCAAUGGCCAAUGUAAAAAUAUAAUUCCAAAAGCCAAAAUUAAAACAGCUUUGUACAACUAGAUUAAUUGAAAAUAGAACACAAUAGGGUAACAUCAUCAUAAAAACUACACGCAAAUUACCUAUUACCCCAACUCUGUGUUCUGCACAGAUAUGUAUUAGGUCUUUCAUGUUGUUGACAACCUUUGAAAUCUGUCAAGCAUUGUAGCAAGUAAUAUAAGGGUUGAGAAAAUACAUAGCAUAACAAAUCAGAGGUUUUCUCUAUAGUACUCAACACUAUACAUUAAUUUUUGAGCUAGAAUUUAAUAGCAUACCUGCAAACAUCUCACAUAUCUUUUAGAAAAACCCAAGUCAUUAAAUGAUUGCAACUCCAAAAUCUUUGCAAGCUGGCGCUCUGCUGUCAAUACCCUGAUGCAAAAUAAACAUUACAUUAAAGCUUUGAAGCUUGAGUCCAGUGUCAUUGUAAUUGUUUGUUACCUAGAUCUGGCAUAGACUGUUUUAACCAACAGAUACUUUUUAACAAAGCAUUGUUAUAAAAUGCUCAAAAAGAGAGUGGUGGUUGACAAAAGGGAAUGAGAAUCUAAAUUUGUAAUCUAUAUUUAAAAAAUACCAUGAGAUGCUCUUAAUUUUGAAUAAGCUCAUUGUAAAAAUAUGAACGUGUGACUUUGCAUCUCUGUAUGUAUAAAAAAUGCUAUUUCUAUGACGUAGGGCACCAUAAUGCAACCAAACAUGCCCACAGGGUAAAAUCUUAUACUACAAUAAGAUCUUUUUGUUUCCAAUUUUACAAUUAAUGAUUUCCAACAAUACUUUUUUCCUUUGAUUUUACCCCUGGUUAUAUACAGUUGGAUAACCCUUCAAUAAACCCAAUAAAUAUAAAGAAACAUAGUUUGCACCAUAUCCUUUCUAUAGAGCUGUUUUUAUCCAUCUAUAUACCGAAAUCACAGUAUGCACCAUGAGUGUAGGACAGUGUCCAGUGAUCACAAAUUGACUCAACUUAGAGGAUUGUUGUAUGUGGUGACCCUAGUAGGAAUAUGUGGUGACCACAUUAGACUUCCUGCAAGUCCCUGUGCAAACUUAUUCUGGAAAUGUGAAGUGUGUGUUGGUGUUGGUUGGGGUGGGCAUGAUGUGGGCAAAAAAUGCGUUAGAUAAGGUUUUUAGAGUCCAUGAGUGUAGGGCAGUGUCCAGUAAUCACAAAUUCAGUCAACUUAGAGGAUUGUUGUAUGUGAUGACGAAUAUGUAGUGACCACAUUAUACCUCAUGCACAGUCCCUGUGCAAACUUAUUAUGGAAAUGUGAAAAGCAUGUUGGUGUUGGUUGGGGUGGGCAUGAUGUGGGCAGAAAAUGUGUUAUAUCAGGUUUUGAGAGUCCAUGAGUGUAGGGCAGUGUCCAGUGAUCACAUAUUCACUCAACUUAGAGGAUUGCAGUAUGUGGUGACCCACAUUAGAUUUCCUGUACAAACCCAGUGCAAAUUUAUUUUGGAAAUGUGAAGUGCGUGUUGGUUGGGGUGGGCAUGAUGUGGGUAGAAAGUGAGUUAGAUCAGAUUUUUAGAGUCCAUGAGUCUAGAACAGUGUCCAGUGAUCACAAAUUCACUCAACUUAGUGGAUUGCAGUAUGUGGUGACCCAAGUAGGAACAUCUGGUGACCCACAUUAGACUUCCUGUACAGACCUAGUGCAAACUUAUUCUGGAAAUGUGAAGUGCGUGUUGGUUGGGAUGUGCAUGAUGUAGGCAAAAAGUGAGUUAGAUCAGAUUUUUAGAGUCCAUGAGUGUAGGGCAAUGUCCAGUGAUCACAAAUUCACUCAACUUAGUGGAUUGCAGUAUGUGGUGACCCAAGUAGGAACAUCUGGUGACCCACACUACACUUCAUAUACAGACCCAGUGCAAACUUAUUCUGGAAAUUUGAAGUGCGUGUUGGUUGGGUGGGCAUGAUGUGGGCAGAAAGUGUGUUAGAUCAGGUUUUUAGAGUCCAUGAGUGUAGGGCAGUGUCCAGUGAUCACAUAUUCACUCAACUUGAGGAUUGUCGUAUGUGGUGACCCAAGUAGGAACAUCUGGUGUCCCACAUUACACUUCUUGCAUAGACCUAAGGAAACUUUUCUGGGAAAUAUGAAGUGAGUGUUCGUCUUUGUUGGGGAGGGGCAUGAGGUGGGGACAAACUGAAUUAAAUAAGGUGUUCUUGCACACACACAUUUCCAGAAUACGUUCUCUCUUAAUUUGUUUAUUUUCUUUUGGAUAAAUUGGUUGAUAUAUUUUCUUUUGGAAAGUUUUGAAAUUGCUUAUCCUGGUUCGAUGGGGAAGUAUGACGAUGAAAAAUUUGAUCAUGAAGGAAGCAAAAUGAAGGUUUGAUUUAUUAUAUUACUAGGUUGAUAGCUGAUAGUUAAUUAUGAAAUUGUGUAAUUAUAUUCAAUUUAAACAUUUCCCUUGCACGUUUAUUUUGAAGAUUCGAGUUAGACACAAAGUGCAACCUGAACAUAUUGUUAACAUCAAUAGAAAUUUAACGUCAUUGCAACGACAAAGAAUAGAGGCAACCCUUUUUAAGUGGAUGCUCCACUUAGAACAAGAAUUGGACAUAUCAAGUCCCCUUCUUCGCGAAUUGAUUAGUAGGUGGAGUGUUGAUGAUA